UUUCCCCAAUGUAGUUUACAUUUCAGGCAUUGUAGUUUUCAUUUCCAUAUGUUUAAUUUGGGUUUUUAAAAAUCUCCCAUGACUCUCUUAACAUGCUCAUAUUUUGCUCUACCUUUGUCACCAUAUGAAACAUAGGAAUAACUAUUUUAAUAACCCGUCUACUAAUUCUAUAUCUGAGUCAGUUUGAAUAUUGAUUUUUCUCCUGAUUGUGUAUCACAUUUUCCUGCUUCUUUGCAGGUGGUAUAACUUGGAAAGUGUUUGAUCCUUUCAAGUUGCAUUUUUAAGCUUUGUUAGGGCAAGACCAGAAUAGCUUUUAAAAAGUUAAGGGCUUUUUUAUGUCAUAGGUCUAAUUUUUCCUCUCUAUUAAGCCAGUCUCCUUUUGUGUACUUUACCCAAUAUUCCAUAUAUUAUGGAGUUUUUCCACUGUGGCUAUUGGUUCAUUACAUUUGGAGAAAUAAUAGGGUUCACCUUGACUGUUUAUGCAGUCAGGGAUCUUAGUCUUGAGCAGUUGACUCAUGUCUGAACACUGUCAUUUCACACAUAUUUUUUAUAUUUUUAAGUUGUUUGAGGUGAAAGAGUGCCUGCUAUCCUUGUUACUCCAUCAUAGGGGAGGAAGGGUCUGAAACUAUAACUUAACCCAUCUCAAUCACGUGUUUGUAAGAAGGAAAUAAAGGAAAGAUAUUUAGGGGCCUCCAUCGCAAGGUCACCAAGAACUAGGCCCUGACUGAGAAAUAUUUGGUUGAUAAGCUAGAUCCAAAACAUUCACUUUUUGUGAUUACACUUUGUGUGUUUGUGUCAGGCAAAAACAUGGAAACUGCAGGAAUCAUCUAAAAUCGUCCAGUUAUCAUAAUCACAGGGGAAAUACGGCUGAAUUCCAGGAUCUGAGAACACUCCUGUUUGCAGGCAAUGUUCUCCGCGGAAGGGCCAUAAGAGGACUGGGCAGAACAUCCUGUUGGCAAGCAAGCUCAGCCGCAAGUCAGCUCCAUGAAAUGUCCUGUAUGCAAGCACAUUCAUGUUCUUAGGCCAGAUCUUCAAUGUUAUAUGUCUAUUAUAUCAAAAUUUUAAAUAAAUGAAUCCAAGUGUAUACUUUAAA